GAUUCUCAAAAGCGUUCACCUCCUCGUGGUGAGAAUCGGGCAACUCUGAUGUUUACGAAUAAAUCAGAGGCAAAGAACGCGUGA
rfam:Trichomalopsis sarcophagae strain Alberta scaffold18563, whole genome shotgun sequence.